rnacentral:rRNA from 1 species
AUGGUACCACAACAUCCCCAAACACACGGUCGUGUGGGUUGCAAACCGCAACAAACCAAUCACCUCCUCUGUUUCCGCAGAGCUUGCCAUCAGCAACACUUCUGGCCUGAUCUUGUCCGACUUCCAAGGCCAAACUGUUUGGGCAACCAACAACAAAUCACCGCUGGAGAUACCGGAGUUGCUGCGGUGAUCCUCGGGACGGGGAACUUGGUCCUCCGGUCAUCCAACGGCACAGUCAUAUGGCAAAGCUUUGAUCACCCGACGGACACCCUCCUUCCUGCCAUGAGGUUCGUGCUGAGUUAUAAAGAUCGUGUGGUUGGGCGUCUUGUUACUUGGAAGGGCCCUAAUGACCCUUCCGAUGGAGAUUUUUCUCUUGGCCUUGACCCCAGUUCAAACCUUCAGGUAGUAAUUUGGCAUGGAACUAGAUUGUACUGCCGCACCAUGGUUCGGAACAGUAUGACUGUUGGUGGAGGAACAUAUCGGAGCAACACCAGCUCCAUCCUGUACCAAACAGUCACUGGCAUAGGAGACGAAUACUACGCUGUGAUCACAGUCUCCGAUGGCUCACCGUAUGUGCGUGCGAUGCUUGACUACACUGGAAAAAUGAAGACAUUGAUUUGGAGCAACUCCUCGUCUUCAUCGACAGUCCUCGGCGAGUACCCCACUGCCUGUGACUUCUAUGCCUCGUGUGGCUCAUUCGGCUAUUGUGAUUUCAGUGGAACUGUCCAAAAAUGCCAGUGCCUUGAUGGGUACGAGCUUGAUGGUCUUGACUUCUCCAGAGGAUGUCGGAGAAUGGAACCUCUGAAAUGUGGAAAGCCGAAUCAUUUUGUUGCUUUGCCUGUGGUGAUGGUCCCGGACAACUUCUUGCACAUCAAGAACAGAAGUUUCGACCAGUGCGCGGCUGAGUGCAGCACCAAUUGCUCGUGUACAGCAUAUGCAUAUGCCAACUUGAGCAGUGAUGGCACAUAUGAAGACCCGUCAAGGUGCUUAGUCUGGACAGGAGAGCUUGUUGACACAUUGAAGCUUAGCAACAAUGGCGAGAAUCUGUACCUCCGGCUUGCUGACUCUCCAGAUCAAAAGAACAACAAUUUGGUAAAGGUUAUAACCCCGAUUAUUGGAAGCCUGGUGAUACUGUCAUGCAUAGCCUUUGUAACGGUAUGCAUAUACAGAGGCAAGUGGCGAAACAAGGAAAUCAAACAAAGACAGAUGUUAAGAUAUGUCGGCUCUUCAAAUGAAAUUGGAGGCGAAUAUUUGGAGUUUCCCUUUGUUAGCUUCGAAGACAUUGCUACAGCAACGGAUAAUUUCUCUGACUCCAACCAAAUUGGAAGGGGAGGUUUCGGCAAAGUUUACAAGGGAUUGCUGGAAGGUGGCAAGGAAGUUGCUGUCAAAAGGCUUAGUGAGGGUUCUAGGCAAGGUAUUGCGGAGUUUAAGAAUGAAAUAGUUCUAUUUGCUAAAUUGCAGCAUAAAAACUUAGUCAGACUUCUUGGCUGUUCCAUUCACGGAGAUGAGAGAUUACUGAUCUAUGAAUACUUACCCAACAAAAGUUUGGAUGCUUUCCUUUUUGGUGCUGCAAGACAGUCUGUGCUUGAUUGGCCUACAAGGUUUAAGAUAAUUAAAGGUGUAGCAAGAGGGCUUCUUUAUCUCCACCAAGAUUCACGAUUAACUAUCAUUCAUAGAGAUCUCAAAGCAAGUAACAUUUUGUUGGAUAUAAAAAUGAAUCCCAAAAUAUCAGAUUUCGGUAUGGCAAGGAUCUUUGGUGAAAACCAGCAGCACGCAAGGACUACGCGAGUUGUUGGUACAUACGGUUACAUGUCGCCAGAAUAUGUGAUGCGAGGUGCCUUUUCUGUAAAAUCAGACACCUAUAGCUUUGGUGUACUACUCUUGGAGAUUGUAAGUGGUUUCAAGAUCAGCUCAUCAGAACUCACGACCAACUUCUCCAACCUUAUAGCUUAUGCAUGGAGACUAUGGGAAGACGGAAAGGCCGCUGAAUUGGUGGAAUCUUCAGUCGUAGAGAGGUGUCCUCUGGAAGAAGCUGUACGGUGCGUUCAUGUAGGACUCUUGUGUGUUCAAAACCAUCCUGAUGAUCGCCCCCUAAUGUCGUCCGUUAUAUUCAUGUUGGAAAACGGAAGUGCACUGGUUCCAGCACCAAAGAAACCCGCGUAUUAUGCUCUAGGUAAUUGUGAAGUCGGGGAGAUGGAACAGAUGGAAAAUUCUGUGAAUGGGAUAAGCAUCACAACUCUAGAUGGCCGUUAG